rnacentral:rRNA from 1 species
AACGUAGGUGGCAAGCGUUAUCCGGAAUUACUGGGCGUAAAGGGCGCGUAGGCGGCCCGCUAAGUCGAACGUGAAAUCCCCGGGCUCAACCCGGGAACUGCGUCCGAUACUGGCAGGCUUGAAUCCGGGAGAGGGAUGCGGAAUUCCAGGUGUAGCGGUGAAAUGCGUAGAUAUCUGGAGGAACACCGGUGGCGAAGGCGGCAUCCUGGACCGGCAUUGACGCUGAGGCGCGAAAGCCAGGGGAGCAAAACGGGG